AUACGGAGGGCGCGAGCGUUGUUCGGAAUCACUGGGCGUAAAGCGGGUGUAGGCGGCCUGUCAAGUCAGAUGUGAAAGCCCACGGCUCAACCGUGGAAGUGCAUCUGAAACUGGCAGGCUUGAGUACCGGAGAGGGAAGUGGAAUUCCUGGUGUAGGGGUGAAAUCCGUAGAUAUCAGGAGGAACACCGGUGGCGAAGGCGACUUCCUGGACGGAUACUGACGCUGAGACCCGAAAGCGUGGGGAGCAAACAGGAUUAGAUACCCGAGUAGUCC
rnacentral:rRNA from 1 species